rnacentral:tRNA from 1 species
AAAUAAGAAGCAAUUAUUGCAUUUAAUUUCGACUUAAAAUUUUGAGUUAAAAAUUUAACUAACUCCUUAUUUA